AAAUGGCUAUGACUAAUAUCUUUCUAUUUUUGUAUAUAGCUAUUUUUAUGUGCUUUGUGUUUCUGCUUUGCUUAUUCCAAUGGCAAGUCACACUACACUCCUGUCUUACAUUGUUGCUCUAUCUGCAAGAUAUUUGUCAUGGCUGACGACAGUGCAGUCUGAUUGGCACCCAUGCCAGUGGAACGUUAAAAGCACUAUUUGAGCGUAAUCGUUGCCAGGGCCACUGACUGGUUCCUUUGCAAAUUAACUGCAGUGAACUUUGUGAAUAUAUCUGCUGUAUAAUUAAUGUUUCAUGACUCAUCUCAAAGAACAGGAUAAGAGUCUUGCAAGAAUUCAACAAUUUUUUU